AUUGAACGCUGGCGGCAUGCUUUACACAUGCAAGUCGAACGGACUUAGGGGCUUGCUCCUGAGUUAGUGGCGAACGGGUGAGUAAUGCAUCGGAACGUACCGUGUAGUGGGGGAUAACGCAGCGAAAGUUGUGCUAAUACCGCAUACGAUCUACGGAUGAAAGCAGGGGAUCUUCGGACCUUGUGCUCCUGGAGCGGCCGAUAUCUGAUUAGCUAGUUGGUGAGGUAAAGGCUCACCAAGGCAUCGAUCAGUAGCUGGUCUGAGAGGACGACCAGCCACACUGGAACUGAGACACGGUCCAGACUCCUACGGGAGGCAGCAGUGGGGAAUUUUGGACAAUGGGGGCAACCCUGAUCCAGCAAUGCCGCGUGAGUGAAGAAGGCCCUCGGGUUGUAAAGCUCUUUUGUCCGGAAAGAAAGCACUGGGUUAAUACCCCGGUGUCCUGACGGUACCGGAAGAAUAAGCACCGGCUAACUUCGUGCCAGCAGCCGCGGU
rnacentral:rRNA from 1 species